GCUGGCGGCGUGCCUAAUACAUGCAAGUCNAGCGGACGUUUUUGAAGCUUGCUUCAAAAACGUUAGCGGCGGACGGGUGAGUAACACGUGGGCAACCUGCCUUAUCGACUGGGAUAACUCCGGGAAACCGGGGCUAAUACCGGAUAACAUCUAGUACCUCCUGGUGCAAGAUUAAAAAAGGGCCUUCGGGCUCUCACGGUGAGAUGGGCCCGCGGCGCAUUAGCUAGUUGGAGAGGUAAUGGCUCCCCAAGGCGACGAUGCGUAGCCGACCUGAGAGGGUGAUCGGCCACACUGGGACUGAGACACGGCCCAGACUCCUACGGGAGGCAGCAGUAGGGAAUCUUCCGCAAUGGACGAAAGUCUGACGGAGCAACGCCGCGUGAGUGAUGAAGGGUUUCGGCUCGUAAAGCUCUGUUAUGAGGGAAGAACACGUACCGUUCGAAUAGGGCGGUACCUUGACGGUACCUCAUCAGAAAGCCACGGCUAACUACGUGCCAGCAGCCGCGGUAAUACGUAGGUGGCAAGCGUUGUCCGGAAUUAUUGGGCGUAAAGCGCGCGCAGGCGGCCUUUUAAGUCUGAUGUGAAAUCUUGCGGCUCAACCGCAAGCGGUCAUUGG
rnacentral:rRNA from 1 species